UUCCUGCAGUUUCUCGAACAGUUAUGUUAGAAAAUAUUGGCACUGAACCAGUACCUUUUUAGUCCUUGUGCAGGAACAACGAGCCCAUUCAUUUCAAUGGAGGGGAAGGGUUGUGAAGGACAGAGUGGGCUGGACCUUCGGUUUUUUGGGCCAUGGACAGUUUUGACAAUGCUGAAAAAUUUGCAAGUCAUAGUUAUCAGAAAGCUGCUGGAUACCCCAUGCUCAUAGGUUUUCUGUACAACCUUGGCCUUCAGCAGAUUAUCCUGAAUCUCACAACAUGCCUGAAAACUACAGCAGAAGACAAUUACUACUGGACCAAUGCGAAACUUAUAUUGUACACAAAAACAAACAUUUGUGCAAAAUUAGUCAUCAAGUUUUGUACAAUGUUAAUUACCAAACAUUGCACUUACACCUACAUUUUAUGUUUUUUGAACUCUUAAAAUGUCAUUUCUACCCACAUAUAGACUGUUCCCCUUUUCGCUAGAUAAUAUGUUUCAUAGUAUGCAUACUCAAAUCUAAUAAUUACUGUAUCUAUUCACUAGUAUCAUGCGCAUGAGAACUUCACUGCAUAUUUUAGUUUUUUGUCAGUCUGGGAAGUGACAUUUUGAGUUUUUUUAAUGCAGGCUAAAAGCAUUUAUCAAUUUAUUUAAAACUAAAUAUUUCAGAGGAACAAAGCCAUCAGUCACUCUUGUAAAUAAAAGAGGAAAUGUGUAGAGCUAUGUAACAAAAAGCAGGGAAAUGGGACUAAUUAGAUACAUCUUUAAAAGAGUCAAUAGAUACAUGAACAUUCUCUUUCUUGCUGUACUGUUCUCUGAUACUAGAAAAUAAACUA